CCAGACUCCUACGGGAGGCAGCAGUGGGGAAUAUUGGGCAAUGGGCGCAAGCCUGACCCAGCAACGCCGCGUGAAGGAAGAAGGCUUUCGGGUUGUAAACUUCUUUUGACAGGGAAGAGCAGAAGACGGUACCUGUCGAAUAAGCCACGGCUAACUACGUGCCAGCAGCCGCGGUAAUACGUAGGUGGCAAGCGUUGUCCGGAUUUACUGGGUGUAAAGGGCGUGUAGCCGGGCUUACAAGUCAGAUGUGAAAUCCGGGGGCUCAACCCCCGAACUGCAUUUGAAACUGUAGGUCUUGAGUAUCGGAGAGGCAGGCGGAAUUCCUAGUGUAGCGGUGAAAUGCGUAGAUAUUAGGAGGAACACCAGUGGCGAAGGCGGCCUGCUGGGCUUUUACUGACGCUGAGGCUCGAAAGUGUGGGGAGCAAACAGGAUUAGAUACCCCUGUAGA
rnacentral:rRNA from 1 species